GGUGAUGCCCUUAGUAAUGGCGAAUGAAACGGGUAUAGUCCAGCACCGAACUGCUGAUCUUCAGAUCAUGCGGAAUGUGGUGUUUGGGAAAGUCUUAUCACACGAUGAUGACCAGUCUAAGUACACCUUGACUGGGGCCAUAGCCCAUAGAGGGUGAUAGGCCUGUAUGGCGGUUGUUAUCUUGUGCGGACUUUAUCCCUAGAGUCGAGUUGCUUGGGAGUGCAGCUCAAAGCGCGAAGUAAACUCUUCGUAAGACUAAAUAUCACCCCAAGACCGAUAGCAAACAAGUACAGUGAUGGAAAGUUGAAAAGAACUUUGAAGAGAGAGUUCAAGAGUACGUGAAACUGUAUAGUGGUAAACGGAGGCGUUUUCGAAGUUUAGAGUGAAGAUUCAGGUCGGAGAUUCGCGUCUCUGGCUGCAUUUCUUCACUCUUGAACACAACGAGCCGUUCGGACUGGAUUUGGACUGCGGAUGAAGUUUUGUUGUGCGCCUCGGCGCUCGGCCAAGCUCUGCAAAUUCUAAUUUCGGACCUUGCGGUUUUGAAAAGGUGGGCUCGUACAGCGAGUGUCCUUGCUGGCACUGCUUACCUGACUCUGUUGUGAGUAGGUCGUCGGCGUCUCUGACCCGUCUUGAAACACGGACCAAGGAGUCUAACAUGUGUGCAAGUCGCUGGGUUUACUAAACCUAUGGGCAAAGUGAAAGCAAAGAACACUUGUGUUUUAGGGGUGAUCGCUGAUCUCUCGGGAUUGGUGCGCAGCCCUGGCGUUUUGCAAUGACCUCGUUCAUGCAGAACAGCAAGAGCAUACACGUUGGGA
rnacentral:rRNA from 1 species